GACAGAGGAUGCAAGCGUUAUCCGGAAUGAUUGGCGUAAAGCGUCUGUAGGUGGCUUUUUAAGUCCGCCGUCAAAUCCCAGGGCUCAACCCUGGACAGGCGGUGGAAACUACCAAGCUGGAGUACGGUAGGGGCAGAGGGAAUUUCCGGUGGAGCGGGUGAAAUGCGUAGAGAUCGGAAAGACACCAACGGCGAAAGCACUCUGCUGGGCCGACACUGACACUGAGAGACGAAAGCUAGGGGAGCGAAUGGGAUUAGAACCGGUACCGACGAA
rnacentral:rRNA from 1 species